rfam:Camelus ferus unplaced genomic scaffold scaffold1381, whole genome shotgun sequence.
GAGAGUAUAGCUCAGGGGCAGAGCGCAUGCUUAGCAUGCAGGAGGUCUUGGGUUCCAUCCCCAGUACCUCCA